AGGAAAGCAGGGGAUCGCAAGACCUUGCGCUUUUGGAGCGGCCGAUGUCUGAUUAGCUAGUUGGUGAGGUAAAGGCUUACCAGGGCUUCGAUCAGUAGCUGGUCUGAGAGGACGACCAGCCACACUGGGACUGAGACACGGCCCAGACUCCUACGGGAGGCAGCAGUGGGGAAUUUUGGACAAUGGGGGAAACCCUGAUCCAGCCAUGCCGCGUGAGUGAAGAAGGCCUUCGGGUUGUAAAGCUCUUUCAGCCGGAACGAAAAGGUUACGGUUAAUACCCGUGACUAAUGACGGUACCGGAAGAAGAAGCACCGGCUAACUACGUGCCAGCAGCCGCGGUAAUACGUAGGGUGCGAGCGUUAAUCGGAAUUACUGGGCGUAAAGCGUGCGCAGGCGGUUUUGUAAGUCAGAUGUGAAAUCCCCGGGCUCAACCUGGGAACUGCGUUUGAAACUACAAGGCU
rnacentral:rRNA from 1 species